rnacentral:lncRNA from 1 species
CAUCCGAAUCAACUUUUGAUCCUUUCGGGGGACCAUGCGGACAAGACCCAAAUGACUUCUGAGUCAUUCAAAAGUAACGGCCACUUCAAAAAGGAAAUUAAUCACUCAAAGGUGUCGGCCACUUCUCAAUAAAGGCAAAUAAAAUUCAAAUGCAGAUGAAAUGAAGACCAAAUGAAGAUCAGAGCCUCUAUAAAUAGCAUAUAAUUCCAGAAGAGAGGCAUCGCGAAAAAUAUCAGAAGUACUCAUAGACUUGUCUUAGUUUUCUUACUACUUCCAACCACUCUAAACAACCCUUGUACUCAAAAGUUUUUGUACCAGAUUUCAACAUUGAAAUAAAUUCUUCAAAGUUGAAUUUCCUUUCAAGCUUCCGUUAGUCACUCAAGAAUCAAAAGUAAGUCCAACUACUUAUGUUUAUUACAUUUCAAUACCUGGGAUAGAAAUGGUAUCAGAGCCACACCCAUAUUUAUUCGCUAAACAAAAAACAAAAAAGACACUCAUAAAGAAUACAUUCGAAGACUACGAGCUGAAAGAGAUAACCCCAUUCUUCAAAAAAGAGAUAUAAAUAUUUCCCAUAGACCAUUUAUCUAUUAUAUCAAAAAUCCCGACAAAACUAUUCAACCUAUUCCUUAUUCUCAAAUUCGAAACCAUGAUAUAGUUCAUAUCAGACAUAGUUUCUGGUCUGCAACCACUCCCAAAGAACAAGCCUUUCUUCUAAAAAGGCAGAUUAAUUCAAAUAUUAUUUUCAAAAAUGUCCUAGAAAAAGCCAAUCAUCCUCCAGAAGAUAUUCAGCCCAUUAUAAAUCGAAUUCGACAGCUUAAAGAAACCCUUAACAGAAUUAUUUGUUAAUUUUGCAGGAUUAUGGAUUCAAAAGCAGGUAAUUCCAGGCCCAAGACUCCUCAAGAUUAUGAGAUGAGUCUAACCCCUGUAAACCAAAAUAGAUUCCAAAUACUUCAAGACUUUCCAGCUCUGAUAUAUAGUCAAGCUGCUAGCACUUCAACUUUUCCUCCAAUAAGAUUUAUUCAACAAACUCCAAAAUCUCCAGAAAAAGCUACAGAAAAUAUUUAUUUCACAAAACCAUUCACUCAACAUAUUACCCUGACCAGAUUUCAAGAAACACCAUUAUACUCUACACUCAACCAAACUGUUCAAAGAAUCUUUCCUCCAAAAUGCUAUUGGCAACCAGAUGAACCUUCAAAAAAUUUAGAUUAUUAUGAAUUGAUUCUUACAUAUUUUCAAUCUGUAGAAAUAUUCCCUAUUCCAGAUAAAAAGAAUCCAAAUAUUAUUAGCCACUCAAAAUGUAUAAUAAAGAAAGUUUGUUCUCCUAAUGAAUGGAUUUCUCUUUAUUCUAAAAAAUCCUUUUCAGUAAAUUUUAUUCCAGAUGGAUUCACAUACCAAGAUUACAAAAUGGCAUGGUAUCGUGCUUUCCUUUUUAGACCAUUCAAUCAUUCCUGAUUCUUCACAUUUAAAGAAAUUUGUAGUCGAGAAUUUCCAAUUUGGUUCAAUCACUGGUGGAAAUGGUUUAGACCACAAUCCGACAUAUUACCUCCAAAUGUGCUUAUGGGAUUUCAAACCUAUCUAAAAAGAGCAAAGGGGGAAGAAUAUACGAGACCAAUUUGACCAUUGAGAGUAAAGAAGUUUUAUACUGUUUGAGUCUAGUGUCUCUUAAAGCUAGAUAUAUUGGAGCAUCUACUCCUAAAUGGAAUAAAGGUUUUACAGCAAUUUGUAUUAAACCUAUAUGAAUGUAUCGAUAUCCUUUACUUAGAUAUUUUUGAAUUGUACUAUGAUUUAAUAAUUGUAUAGUUUGAUAUUCUUCUUGAAUAGAUAUUGUUUCUUCAUGUGUUUUAACUGAUAAAGCAGUUUUGAAAUCUAAAGGGCCAAUUCUAUAAAUGUGUUCUAUUUUUUCUUCUGGAAUAAUCCAAUCUGAAUUAUUUAUGGGCAUAUGAUAUUCAUGACUUUGUACUACAUUAUCUUGUCUUGAAUUAGAUCCUAUUUUUAAUUGUCUAAGAAAUGCAGCCAUGUUUAAUGUUUUAUUAAAAUUUUACUUAGACGGGAACAACUGAGCACUAUGCCUGGAACAUCCUAUCCUGGACUUACCAACGGACUAACAAGGCAUCAAGUCUUACCAACGUUUUCAGUAAAAGUUUAAUAAAAUAUGUAAACAUAAUUGCAUGAAAUAGCCAAGUUAAAAUAGAAACGUAAUUCAAAUAGAAAAUGUAAAUGCAAAGUUUAAAAUAAGCGUAUGCGAAUAAAUAUGGGUGUGGCUCUGAUACCACUUCUAUCCCAGGUAUUGAAAUGUAAUAAACAUAAGUAGUUGGACUUACUUUUGAUUCUUGAGUGACUAACGGAAGCUUGAAAGGAAAUUCAACUUUGAAGACUUUAUUGCAAUGUUGAAAUCUGGUACAAAGACUUUUGAGUACAAGGGUUGUUUAGAGUGGUUGGAAGUAGUAAGAAAACUAAGACAAGUCUAUGAGUACUUCUGAUAUUUUUCGCGAUGCCUCUCUUCUGGAAUUAUAUGCUAUUUAUAGAGGCUCUGAUCUUCAUUUGGUCUUCAUUUCAUCUGCAUUUGAAUUUUAUUUGCCUCCUUUAUUGAGAAGUGGCCGACACCUUUGAGUGAUUAAUUUCCUUUUUGAAGUGGCCGUUACUUUUGAAUGACUCAGAAGUCAUUUGGGUCUUGUCCGCAUGGUCCCCCGAAAGGAUCAAAAGUUGAUUCGAAUGACUCUGCUGACUCAUCAAUUUUGGCUGUGUCUUCUUUUUUCUCUUGCUUUUGCAAAUAGUCCAAAUAUUCUUUUAGUAAUUUUGGAUCUUGUAACAUCUUUUUCAUCAGGAAAUCAUUUGAAUUUGCCUCGGAUGCCAUCUCCGUCUCUUUUUCUUUUUCUUUCUUUAUUGGAGUAGUAUUUGGAGUUGGUGCCAGAAUGAUUGGUGUUGAUGGAGAAUUUGUAGUGGAUUUUGAAGUAUUGGGUAACUGUCUUGUCCAUUUGAGCUUUUCUCCAAUAGUCAGGAAUUUGAUAACAUUUACUUGAUCUGCAAAUUCUUGGUUGAAUCCUGUCCACCAUUUAAUUUUGAAUUCUCUUACCAAUGACAUUGGGAGUGGUUUUUCUAACUCUUGAUGUAUCUUGAAACUCCAGCAAAUUAUCCAUGGAACUUUGAACUCCAUAUGGAAUAAAAUUGGUCUCGUAUAUUCUUUAGAUAGGUUUGAAAUCCCAUAAGCACAUUUGGAGGUAAUAUGUCGGAUUGUGGUCCAAACCAUUUCCACCAGUGAUUGAACCAAAUUGGAAAUUCUCGACUACAAUUUUCUUUGAAUGUGAAGAACCAGUAAAUAUUAUCAGAUUCCUGACUACUGGAGAAAAGCUAAAAUGGACAAGACAGUUACCCAAUACUUCAAAAUCCACUACAAAUUCUCCAUCAACACCAAUCAUUCUGGCACCAACUCCAAAUACUACUCCAAUAAAGAAAGAAAAAGAAAAAGAGACGGAGAUGGCAUCCGAGGCAAAUUCAAAUGAUUUCCUGAUGAAAAAGAUGUUACAAGAUCCAAGAUUACUAAAAGAAUAUUUGGACUAUUUGCAAAAGCAAGAGAAAAAAGAAGACACAGCCAAAAUUGAUGAGUCAGCAGAGUCAUCCGAAUCAACUUUUGAUCCUUUUGGGGGACCAUGCGGACAAGACCCAAAUGACUUCUGAGUCAUUCAAAAGUAACGGCCACUUCAAAAAGGAAAUUAAUCACUCAAAGGUGUCGGCCACUUCUCAAUAAAGGCAAAUAAAAUUCAAAUGCAGAUGAAAUGAAGACCAAAUGAAGAUCAGAGCCUCUAUAAAUAGCAUAUAAUUCCAGAA